UACGUAGGGGGCUAGCGUUGUCCGGAAUCAUUGGGCGUAAAGAGCGUGUAGGCGGCCCGGUAAGUCCGCUGUGAAAGUCGGGGGCUCAACCCUCGAAUGCCGGUGGAUACUGUCGGGCUAGAGUGCGGAAGAGGCGAGUGGAAUUCCUGGUGUAGCGGUGAAAUGCGCAGAUAUCAGGAGGAACACCAAUUGCGAAGGCAGCUCGCUGGGACGUAACUGACGCUCAUGCACGAAAGCGUGGGGAGCAAACAGG
rnacentral:rRNA from 1 species